CCUACGGGUGGCAGCAGUGGGGAAUAUUGGACAAUGGGCGAAAGCCUGAUCCAGCCAUGCCGCGUGUGUGAAGAAGGCCUUCGGGUUGUAAAGCACUUUCAGUGGGGAAGAAAGCCUUGGGGCUAAUACCCUCGAGGAAGGACAUCACCCACAGAAGAAGCACCGGCUAACUCCGUGCCAGCAGCCGCGGUAAUACGGAGGGUGCGAGCGUUAAUCGGAAUUACUGGGCGUAAAGCGCGCGUAGGCGGUCUGAUAAGCCGGUUGUGAAAGCCCCGGGCUCAACCUGGGAACGGCAUCCGGAACUGUCAGGCUAGAGUGAAGGAGAGGAAGGUAGAAUUCCCGGUGUAGCGGUGAAAUGCGUAGAGAGCGGGAGGAAUACCAGUGGCGAAGGCGGCCUUCUGGACUGACACUGACGCUGAGGUGCGAAAGCGUGGGUAGCAAACAGGAUUAGAUACCCUGGUAGUC
rnacentral:rRNA from 1 species